rnacentral:rRNA from 1 species
UACGUAGGGUGCGAGCGUUGUCCGGAAUUAUUGGGCGUAAAGAGCUCGUAGGCGGUUUGUCACGUCUGCUGUGAAAUCCCGAGGCUCAACCUCGGGCCUGCAGUGGGUACGGGCAGACUGGAGUGCGGUAGGGGAGAAUGGAAUUCCUGGAGUAGCGGUGGAAUGCGCAGAUAUCAGGAGGAACACCGAUGGCGAAGGCAGUUCUCUGGGCCGUAACUGACGCUGAGGAGCGAAAGCGUGGGGAGCGAACAGG